GGCAUGGUGGCUCAGUGGUUAGAGCGCCCGCCUCAUGAACGGGGUCGAACCUCGGCCGAGUCAUACCA
rnacentral:tRNA from 1 species